rnacentral:rRNA from 1 species
UGACUUCGCAGGACGAACACCGCGAUGAAGGGGAGUGAAGGCUCUAGGGUUGCUAAACCKCCUUUUCUCAGGGAAGAAGAUCUGACGGUACCAUGAGGAAUAGGCAUCGGCUAACUCCGUGCCAGCAGCCGCGGUAAGACGGAGGAGGCAAGCGUUAUCCGGAAUUAUUGGGCGUAAAGCGUCCGCAGGCGGUUAAUUAAGUCUGUUGUCAAAGCCCACAGCUCAGCUGUGGAUCGGCAAUGGAAACUGGUUGACUUGAGUGUGGUAGGGGUAGAGGG